rnacentral:tRNA from 1 species
GCCUGUGGUGAAGUGGUAGACACGCGAGACUCAAAAUAUCGUGCUAAAGAGUGUGGAGGUUCGAGUCCUCUUCAAGGAAUA